GGAGUUAGCCGGUGCUUCUUCUGUGAGUGAUGUCCUUCCUGCCGGUUAUUGACCCGCAGGCCUUCUUCCUCACUGAAAGUGCUUUACAACCCGAAGGCCUUCUUCACACACGCGGCAUGGCUGGAUCAGGGUUGCCCCCAUUGUCCAAUAUUCCCCACUGCUGCCUCCCGUAGGAGUCUGGGCCGUGUCUCAGUCCCAGUGUGGCUGAUCAUCCUCUCAGACCAGCUACGGAUCGUCGCCUUGGUGAGCCGUUACCUCACCAACCAGCUAAUCCGACAUAGGCUCAUCCGAUAGCGCGAGGCCCGAAGGUCCCCCGCUUUCCCCCGUAGGGCGUAUGCGGUAUUAGCCUGGGUUUCCCCAGGUUAUCCCCCACUACCGGGCAGAUUCCUAUGCAUUACUCACCCGUCCGCCGCUCGCCACCAGGGAGCAAGCUCCCCGUGCCUGCCGCUCGACUUGCAUGUGUUAGGCCUGCCGCCACGCGUCAUCUGAGACACUGAUACAACUACUCGA
rnacentral:rRNA from 1 species